GUGUCAUUUGACAGCAUAUAUGCUAACACUGGAAUGAUACUGAGUUUAGCAGGGCCCCUGUGCAAAGAAGACAUAGAAAUUCUUGAAAUGUUCCAUUUGUGU